UCGUGCUAGGCGGGGAGCUGGGGCUGCCCUGUACCCGAAAUGCCCUAUACGCGGGGCCGAACUCCCGCCCGAGGUCCCAUACCGGGGGGACUGCGACCGCCGGCCGGCGAUGACGGCUGGGUCCUGCGCGGCGGGGCGCCUCGAACCGGGUCAGGACCGAGAGGUAGCAGCCCUAAGGGGUGGGCUCCGGGUGCCGCAGGGUCGCCUGGCCCGAGCCGGGCGGCGCAAGCAAGCCCCCGACCAAGAUCGACGGCGGGUGCACGA
rnacentral:SRP_RNA from 2 species